AUGUGUAGCAGAAAAAGAGAGGAAGAUUGCCAAUAUCAUGCGUUAAUCUCAAAAGGAGAGGGGAAUAUUGCCAUUACCAUGCCAUCCUCUGCUUGCAACCAGAGGAAGAAGGCCGCAUUUUCCGGUGGUGGUUCGCUCCCGGAUGAGAUAAUCAUGGAGGUGCUACUGCGGCUCCCUGUCAAAUCCAUACUCCGCUUCCGGGCCGUCUGCCGCUCCUGGGCUGUGUUCUUCUCCACUGAGCAGUUCUGCAAUCUCCACAUGGCGACCCCCAAGAUAGCACCGCCGAAGCUACUGUUUGUCUCACCCACAUCAAGACCCGGCUCCACAGAGGUGUUCUCAUGCUCCCCCUCAGGCCCCAAAGAUGACCUGCUGUUCACCCUUGACUCUGCCUGCGGCAACUCGAUGCAGGUUGUCAUGCCAGCGCCGUGCCAUGGCCUCACCCUUCUGUUUGAUGCUGUUGCGCCAGCUUACUACAUCUGCAAUGCUGCCACACGAGCAGUAACACGUCUGCCACCUUUCCGUUACUUGGUCAGGUGUACAUCUACCGGGCUGGGAUUUGAUGCCAGGACAAGAAAGUACAAAGUGGUCAGACUGAUCAAAGGGUCACGCCAUGACAAUGAGUCCGUAAGGUGUGAGGUAUACACACAUGGAAGUGGUUAUGGGGAUUGCUGGAGGCCGCCUACUGGAGGAAUACCCUUUGGAUUGUGCAGGUUUGCAGGUGCUGCUGUUAAUAAUGCGGCAUUCUUCAGUCUACCACCUGUGUUUGCAAAUGGACACCUGCACUGGUUGGUCCAGCCUUCUUUGUUCUCCAAAAAGCCAAGAGCUGCUGUGAUAUCAUUUUCUCUUGCGGAGGAGACCUUCAGUUUUGUUGGGCCACCACCGUUCUGGACAUCAGAAAUGUACUCAUCCACACCAUUGUCAGCAUCAGGUCCAGAGUUUGUCCCCUUCUGCCCCGGGACAUUAGGAGAGCACCUAGUGCAGAUGGAUAACCAACCGUGUAUGGUCCGAGACCUUCGAUAUAAUCGUAAUGGUGGUUGCGUUCUGGAGAUAUGGAAAUUGCCGGAUCGUAGCUCUUGUGCUUGGUCACUGAAUCAUCGCAUUUCUUUGUUAGGGCGUGUGGCAACAGAUUUACGUCAGCCCAAGGUUGUGAGAGUUAUUGGUUCUACAGGCACUAGCAUGUCAACGAAGAAGAUCCUCAUCGCUACUAGCAUGCACAAAAUCUGCGACAAGUUUCAGAAGAAGGUUUACACCUAUGACCUUAAUUCUGAAUCUUUAGAGACCAUUCUUUCAAUCACCGUGGCACAUGCAUCGCUUGAAGGCAUGAAUCCAAGUUCAAGAUUCAGUUUAUUUGAAGAGAGCCUUGCCCUGGUGCAUGAAACAGUUGAAAAGAUAAAAUUGUCAACUACUCCGCCUCCCAACCGAAACUAG
rnacentral:rRNA from 1 species